rfam:Myotis davidii contig7766, whole genome shotgun sequence.
GGUGAUUCUCGGGUGAUGCACCCUGGAAUCGGGCUCCCUCCUCUCGGGCUCCAGGUGCGUCACCCGAGAACCACA